GUGAUGUCAUGUUAGCUUGGUAACUGUCAGUUUCGUAUGUGUGGAAACCAGUAACGUUACGCGAUGGACUAAGACAUGUAUGUAAUUGGGAGACAUGUAAAAUUGUUAGCUAACGUUGCGGGGAGAACAAAAACACAAGCCUGUGCGCUAUUCUUUUCUUGCAAGACGAUUUCGGGGAAAUCACCUGGCAUUACGUCAAAAUAUUAACUGACGUUACUUUCUUGUUAAGAUUACCGGCGCGAAUUUACCUGCGAAUAUAUUGUCAGAAUUAACGUUGGAAUGAUAUGUCCAACUCUGGUUCUGGGAACAAUUAAGGAAACGAUAAUAGGCUACAAAACAUUUACUACGCAACUGGUGUUCAGCAUGUGGAGGUGCAUAUAUUUUUUCCCAGGAAGAACCUGCAUGACCGGGUCACCACCGCGAUGUUCUCGGAGAGGGACAGUCUGCUGUCCAUCACCACGCUGAGGUUCCUUGCACUGGGUGAUGGUGUAAGUGUGGUAUCCCCGAGGGAAAUGGAGAGAUCCAGAUGGGGAGAGGUAUUAGCAGGGAUGAAUAUAAUUUCAGUCUUACCUGGGUUGAGCUUUAGAUGGUGGUUGUCCAUCCAGCUCUGGAUGUCACUCAGGCAAGCAGAGAUACGGGCUGAGACCUGUGUAUCAGAUGGUGGGAACGAGAUGAAGAGUUGGGUAUCGUCCGCAUAGCAGUGGUAGGAUAGCCUAUGUGCAGUGAUCACAGGGCCAAGGGAACGAGUGUAAAGAGAAAAAAGAAGCAGGCCUAGGACUGAGCCCUGGGGAACUCCUGUGGCAAGGGGCCGAGGUGUCGAUACCGUACCAGCCCAGGCAACCUGGAAGGAGCGACCAGAGAGGUAGGACUCAAUCCAGUCCAGGGCUGUGCCACAGAUGCCCGUUGCUGACAGGGCGGACAGGAGGAUGGAGUGAUCCACAGUGUCGAAGGCAGCAGAGAGAUCUAGAAGAAUGAGGACAGAGGAGAGGGAGGCUGCUCGUGCGGCAUGGAGUGAUUCACUGACGGAGAGGAGCGCGGUCUCUGUCGAGUGGCCCGAUCUGAAGCCAGACUGAUGGGAGUCUAGCAGGUUGUUGUUUGGGAAGAAAGAAGAAAGUUGAGUAGAAGUGGCUCGUUCUAUGGUUUUACAAAGAAAAGGAAGAAGAGAUACCAGGCGGUAGUUCUGGAUGAUGGAGGGAUCCAGCGUAGUGAUGUGGGCCCUCUUGGAGGAUGCUGGAAAACAGCCAGAAGACAGGGAGGAUGUCAGUACUUGUAGAACUUUCCAUAUAUUCAUAUGCACUGCUAUUUGCCCAUUCAUACUUCUGUACUACUUUUGCCUCAUUGUGUUAGUGUAAAUGUGUUUAUCAGGGGUGUGAUUCUUCCGGAUAAAUCUGGAAAACCGGCUUUUCCGACCUGAAAAUGAGGCUCUCGUAAAUCAUGCCAAUCCGCUUUUUUUUUGGGCAUGGGUCGUAAACAUAAUGACCGCUCACCGCUGUCAACGUUUUUUGUGGCUCUGAUUCAUGUCGUCAUGUCACUCCGCAAGUAGUCCAUUCAUUUGUCAUGACGGAACUUCAUUCUGUGAAAGCAGAGCUCCACCAAAGAUUGUACAUUUGGCUCCACCUACGUAGCCUGCAAUCGUUGCAGAUGGUUAUCUGAUGUGUUCUUAGAAUUUUGGACGUGUAGGGAGAACUAUUUUUUUCUUAGCUGAAGCUGACAACGGGACAAAAUAAAUGUAAAGACAGACAUAGUGGAGUUCCUAUUUUCGUUUUGACAAGUAUAAUAAAUUCUGUAGUCUACCCCUUACAUGACCUGGCAAGUGACAUUAUUCUAAAACGCAUAUAAGAAUAACUCCCCCAACAUGGUUAAAAUACUGUCUAGAGCCAGCUGGACAAUGAGAAAAUGUCAUAGCAUGAUCAGAAUAGCCUGACCUGACAAGACAACGGAGAAAAUAUUUGUAUUCAAAAUUUGGGGUAGGCUAAUGGUUUGGAUGACAUUAUUGGAUAUUUUUGUGCAGUAAUGUGAUGUACGUGACACCAAAACGCAAAGUAAACAAGACAGAAAAAGAAAGUUAACCGUACCCAACAAUCUACUGAUGUGAACUGUGAACACCUUCAGUUGACAAGACGAUGGACACUGAUGAUUCAGCAUUCUUUGAGUCAUGGCCAAACUUGCUCUGAACAGCCCAGAUGUAAAAUACAUUGAUGAGGGGGUGAAGAAUCGUUUUAAAUGGAGCUGGUUGCAGGAGACUGUCCAAUGAGUUGUUUCAGCAAAAUUAGGGAAGCAGACAGGGUAAUUUGCGACAGUUGCAAUCAACAUAACAUAAAUUACGAAACAAGUGGGAAGAAUGCCCUGAAGAGGCAUGUGGAGCAUUCAAAGCAUAUAAAGGCUUGGAAGAUGCAACAGCAGAACAUGCGCGUCAUCAUGAAGGCCAAAACAACAAGCCUGAAUGUGGAGACCUAUGAGGCCUAUGAAGUUGUAAAGUACCAGCUGAAGCAAUUCACCACUACUCCAGACCGUCAAAGGACAGCCCCAUCAACUCGUCACUUGUACGGAAUGUCAAACUCUCAAGCCGGAGGUACAGGGCAGAGAACAAACGGAGAGCAGAACUUCAUGCUCCCAAUCCAGCCAGAAAGAAGGCAGCCAAAGACUCGAUAGUGGCAGCAGCUUUCAAUGCCAGAAAGACUUUUCAAAAGCGGCGGCUGCAGGCAUUGAAAAAGCUUGCUGCCAAGAAACAGAAACAGUAGUUUCCAAUGUGCACUGUGUGUGUGUGUGUGUGUGUGUGUGUGUGUGCAUGUCACCGCAUCAUGGUAGGUGCUCCGUAUAUUUUCCUGCUUUUUUUUGUCCUUUGCCAAUCACACCUAUGGUUUAUACAGUUCUUUACUUUAAUAAGCUAUACCUUCACCUCAGGUACAUAUUUUGCAUGCUCUAUUUGACAAUAUACACGCAGUGAGCACUUUAAUAGGUAUUUAUUAGACGUAUUAGGUCUUUGGCUGCUGUAGCCAAUCCACUUAGAGGUUUGACACAUUGUGUGUUCAGAGAUCUGUUCACUGAUGUAAUGUAUGGUUAUUUGCAUUACUGUCACCUUCCUGUCAGCUUAACCUUAACCAACCUUCCGUCCGCAGAACUGCCGAUCACUGGAUGUUUUUUUGUUUUUCGCACCAUUCUGAGUAAACUCAGGAGACUGUUGUGCAUGAAAAUCCCAGGAGAUCAGCAGUUAAAGAAAUACUCGUACCUGCCCGUCUGGUACCAAGAAACAUGCCACAGUCAAAAUCACUGAGAUCACUUUUUUUUUUUUUGUCAAAUUUUGAUGGUUGAUAUGAACAUUACUGGAAGCUCCUGACCCGUAUCUGCAUGAUUGUAUGCAUUGCACUGCUGCCACACGAGUGGGUGAUUAGAUAAUUGCAUGAGUAGGUAUGCAGGUGCUCCUAAUAAAGUUCUCAAUGAGUGGUUAUUUUGGCAAUUGUUGUUUGUAUUUGUGUGCAUGGAUAGUAGACAAGUUGUAAAUAUUGUUCUCCUUCAGACACUUUUACCCAAAAUCCAACCAGCU